GGACUACCAGGGUUUCUAAUCCCGUUUGCUCCCCUGGCUUUCGCGCCUCAGCGUCAAUACCGGUCCAGGAUGCCGCCUUCGCCACCGAUGUUCCUCCAGAUAUCUACGCAUUUCACCGCUACACCUGGAAUUCCACAUCCCUCUCCCGGAUUCAAGCCUUUCAGUCUCGGACGCAGUUCCCGGGUUGAGCCCGGGGAUUUCACGUUCGACUUAGAAGGCCGCCUACGCGCCCUUUACGCCCAGUAAUUCCGAACAACGCUUGCCCCCUCUGUAUUACCGCGGCGGCUGGCACC
rnacentral:misc_RNA from 1 species